UACGAAGGGUGCAAGCGUUAAUCGGAAUUACUGGGCGUAAAGGGUGCGUAGGCGGUUCGUUAAGUCUGUUGUGAAAUCCCCGGGCUCAACCUGGGAAUGGCAAUGGAUACUGGCGGGCUAGAGUGUGUCAGAGGAUGGUGGAAUUCCCGGUGUAGCGGUGAAAUGCGUAGAGAUCGGGAGGAACAUCAGUGGCGAAGGCGGCCAUCUGGGACAACACUGACGCUGAAGCACGGAAGCGUGGGGAGCAAACAGG
rnacentral:rRNA from 1 species